UCUUUCUUUUCUUUCUCACGUUGCCACUAUUGUUGGGGAGAAGAAGGUUUUCUUUUCUCUUCAAUUUCAUCCUCCAUCACCAUUAUGGCCAUUCCAAGCUAAAAAUGAUCAAAUUACCAUUCAAAACCUUAGCUAAAUCAAGUCACCCACAACCUAACAAGCUCAAAUUUUUGAAUAGAAAUGAAGUGUUCAGACUUGAGGAGAGAGAAAAUCUAGAUAAUGUGAUGAACUAAGCUUUUAAGAGAAAGAGAAGGAAGAAGAUAGAAGGGGUGUAGACAAAGGGAAGCAAGUAGACAAAGCUUGAAGGAAGUCUAGUUUAGCAAAAUUUGUAAAGAUCGUUUUGAAGGUAGAUUUUGAAGUGGCUUUCCUCAUCCUCAUCUCAUCAUCAAGCAAGGAUUGAAGAGUUUGAAACUUAAAUAUUAGUUAUAGUGGCAUGUACUUAGGGUUAGAAUCAUAUAAUUUUUUAUUAUAAAUUGUCAUGUGGUUCUAAAACUAUGCCAUAGAUGUUAAUUAUCAUUUUGUGCUUUGGAAUUGAACUUCUUUAGAUGAGUAUAUU